rnacentral:misc_RNA from 1 species
UACGGAGGGUGCAAGCGUUGUCCGGAUUUAUUGGGUUUAAAGGGUGCGUAGGCGGCUUUAUAAGUCAGUGGUGAAAGUCUGUAGCUUAACUAUAGAAUUGCCAUUGAUACUGUAGAGCUUGAGUAUAGUUGAGGUAGGCGGAAUUUAUGAUGUAGCGGUGAAAUGCAUAGAUAUCAUAAGGAACUCCGAUAGCGAAGGCAGCUUACUAAACUAAUACUGACGCUGAGGCACGAAAGCAUGGGUAGCAAACAGG